rnacentral:rRNA from 1 species
AGUGAACGCUGGCGGUAGGCCUAACACAUGCAAGUCGAACGGCAGCACAGUAAGAGCUUGCUCUUACGGGUGGCGAGUGGCGGACGGGUGAGGAAUACAUCGGAAUCUACUUUUUCGUGGGGGAUAACGUAGGGAAACUUACGCUAAUACCGCAUACGACCUACGGGUGAAAGCAGGGGAUCUUCGGACCUUGCGCGAUUGAAUGAGCCGAUGUCGGAUUAGCUAGUUGGCGGGGUAAAGGCCCACCAAGGCGACGAUCCGUAGCUGGUCUGAGAGGAUGAUCAGCCACACUGGAACUGAGACACGGUCCAGACUCCUACGGGAGGCAGCAGUGGGGAAUAUUGGACAAUGGGCGCAGGCCUGAUCCAGCCAUACCGCGUAGGUGAAGAAGGCCUUCGGGUUGUAAAGCCCUUUUGUUGGGAAAGAAAAGCAGCAGGUUAAUACCCCGCUGUUCUGACGGUACCCAAAGAAUAAGCACCGGCUAACUUCGUG